AUUGAACGCUGGCGGCAGGCCUAACACAUGCAAGUCGAGCGGGAACUUCGGUUCUAGCGGCGGACGGGUGAGUAAUGCGUAGGAAGCUACCCGACAGAGGGGGAUACCAGUUGGAAACGACCGUUAAUACCGCAUAAUGUCUACGGACCAAAGUGUGGGACCUUCGGGCCACAUGCUGUCGGAUGCGCCUACGUGGGAUUGGCUAGUUGGUGAGGUAAUGGCUCACCAAGGCGACGAUCCCUAGCUGGUUUGAGAGGAUGAUCAGCCACGCUGGAACUGAGACACGGUCCAGGCUCCUACGGGAGGCAGCAGUGGGGAAGAUUGGACAAUGGGGGCAAGCAUGAUCCAGCCAGGCCGCGUGUGUGAAGAAGGCCUUCGGGUUGUAAAGCACUUUCAGUAGGGAGGAAGGAGUUGUCGUUAAUAGCUGCAACUGUUGACGUUACCUACAGAAGAAGCACCGGCUAACUCUGUGCCAGCCGCCGCCGUAAGAC
rnacentral:rRNA from 1 species